GUCCCGGGGCGCGGGGUCGGGGUCCGGGGGUGCAGCUGUGGCUCGGGGUCGGGGGCGCUGCUGGGCGCGGGGGCGCGGCUGGGCUCAGGUCCCGGGGCGCGGGGGGCGCGGCUGAGCCUUGGGGGUCCGAGGGGCGGGGUCCGGGGUCCGGGGGCGCGGCUGGGCUCGGGGUCGGGCCCCGCGGGCCUUGUCCCCUCCCUGCGGGCGGACCCGCUGCGGCUCAGACUCUCCGCGCGACGAGAUACCCUGGGAUGGGGGGAGAAGCUAGGAACCAAGAAGCAGGAGAGAUGUCUGUCCUAGUCCUCCAGGAUCUACCAAACUACCAAACUCUACUUCAGAUGAACACCAGCCAGGUAGACAGUAGGUGAGACAUAGAUUGUGUAUGCAUGUGUCUGUUGAGUUUUGCUCUCCGUAGACACAGUGUGGAAGUGCUGAACUCUCUAGCACAGACACACAUAUUAGCAAACGAGACUCCUCUUCAGUCAUGGUUCUUAUAAUGCUUAUGUGCAACAUAUUUUUUUAGACGUGGUUAUUGGUUAUACCCAAGAAUGUACUCUUUUUUUUUUUAUUGUGGAAAUAGAUUCUUGAUUGAGAAUUAUGGGCCCUCUCUUGUGUCUGAUGUGUUGAUUUUUCAAGCUGCCGUGCAGGAUAGGUGAGUUGCACAAUAUAAUGAUGCAGGCCUAUGUUGUAAGUGGACGAGAACAAGUUUAAAUGUGUGUUGAAGUGGUUUUAGAGCAAAUUUCACAACACUAAUUGUCCUUCAAAGUAAUCUCUCUCAGGAGUAAAUCUAACAAAAGAAUUGAAUGUCAUCCAGCUAUUAUAUAAAACAAAUGUAAACUUGAUCAUAACAUAUGACUGUGACAUAGAAGAACACUACAUGAUAUAAGCUUAGCAUUUUUUGAUAAUUGGAUAUAUAAGUUAGACUGUGUUAUGUAAAUUGAUAAUAUUUACUGUAUCAUUUUUUAUGAAUAUGAAAAAUUUGGCAGAAAAAAUACAUAAUAAUCCUGCAGUAUCUACUCAAUCUAAUAAAUAAAUGUAAGUACAGAUUUUUAGACAUAUAUUAUCCUUAAGUAAGAUACAAAGGAAACAC
rnacentral:lncRNA from 1 species